rnacentral:rRNA from 1 species
AGAAAUCUCACCAGGCCCGGACACUGGAAGGAUUGACAGAUUGAUAGCUCUUCCUUGAUUCGGUGGGUGGUGGUGCAUGGCUGUUCUUAGUUGGUUGAGUGAUUUGUCUGGUUAAUUCCGUUAACGAACGAGACCUUAACCUGCUAAAUAGUGACGCGGUUCAUCGAACCGUGGGCCACUUCUUAGAGGGACUAUCGGAUUCAAACCGAUGGAAGUGUGAGGCAAUAA